rnacentral:lncRNA from 1 species
CGGCUCCUUCCCUCGCUGCUGAGGGAAGGAGGUGAGCAGCCUUCCUCUACGCAGACCCUUCCUCUACGCAGACCCUUCCUCUCUGCCACAGACCACGCAAGGACUGAAAUUUCUAAACUAUGGAAAAUCAAGGCAGGAGCACGAGGGUAACUCGCCCAAGGUGAGAAGACAAGAGACAACUGGCACACACCUGGCACUCACCUGGUCCCCAGCCACGCUUCAUGCUCAGAAGCCGCCUGUAUGGAGAACUGACAUUGUCACAUUCCAGCCGGGAAAACGUCACCCAAACCAUGCCCCGCCUCUUCUGCCUUUCUUCUCCCUCAAGCUCCCAAGGACAGACCUGUGUUUGCCCACCCAGGAAGCCUCCCACCUGCAGCUGAACACUUGGCUCACUCUGUUGCUGUGCUCACCUGCAGGGGCAGAUGGACCCGUCCCAGGUUUCAUUCAGAUGUCAAGACAAGCCUGGUGCCCUGGCACAUGCCUAUCAUCCUAGCACUUGGGAGGCUGAGGCAGGAGGAUCACUGUGAG